rnacentral:lncRNA from 1 species
AUUUACAAACGUGCAUUCAUGAGAAGAAUGUAAACAUGAUAAAAAGAUACAUACUAAUAUAAAAUAAGGAUAUAUUAACUAUAAAAAAAUAAGAAACACAUUAUGUUAAUUCUUCAUAUAUAAAAAAUGGUCUAUGUAUUAUUUAUAAACGAGCUGUAGUAUCGAAUUUCUUGUAAAGGUUCAGGGGUCUGAAUUUAUGAAACUACUGCACCAUAAUGUGCAUAAUCUAAAAAGAGAGUGAUUGAUCUACUAUGACCAUUAAUAUUAUUAUGCAUACUGUUCUAGAUGUGACGUCUACCAAAUUAUUAAAAAACUUCAAUGUAAAAAGCAUGCAAUACUAAUCUUAUUUUUUAGUAUAUUUAUUCAAAUAGGUUAAAAAAGGGAAACAUGAUAAUAUAUGUAUGUAUAUGUCGUGUACAAGUUGCGAUUUUGUACAGGUUAUAACAUGUACAAAAACAUUGUACAUGUUAUAACUUGUAUAAUGCAAAAAUACAAGUUAUAACAUGUACACAAGUACCUCAUACAUGUUAUAACCUGUACAAAAUAUUGCUGAAAAAUGGUUUUAACUUGUACAAAAUUUGAGAUAAAUCUUAAUGAAGUAAAAUAUACAUUUAAAUUCACCAAUGCAUAAAGAACAACAAUAAAUAGGUCAGAAUGUGUCUUUUUCUGUAGAGGACAAUGAUCACAAAGUUUCAGAAAUAUAUGUUUUAUGACUUAUGUUGACAAAAUGUGUUUUCAUGUCAUUGUAUGUUUUAUGUAGUCCAUCAUGGCUUAAAUAAGUGUGACACUAUUUACUAAAAGCUUGCAUUUCCUCAAUGACAAUUACAUUAGACAUGUUAGAUACUUGUGAUUUAAUUCUUCAAAAAAAUUUUAAGAACGAUGCCUUAAAAUUUUGGGUAAUACUCCUCCCUCUCGUUUUAUAGCAUGCAAAGACUAAAAUAAUGUCUUAUAUGCUUACUCUGCAAAAGCAAGAGAGAGCUGAAAUAAUUUUCAUUGGACCACGCUUCAUUAUCAAUAUCUUUGGAUCUACUCUUCAACAUUUUUGGCCUUCAGCAUGACUUAUGUAAAUUUAUAAUUAUUUUUUUUUAUAUAAACUAUAAGAUCAUUGCAUGAGGCAGAUGUCAUUCUGAUGUUUUAAAUAUAUAUCCUCUACUUUGAAAGCAUGUAUUUGUGUCCUUUGGAUGUCGUCUGCUCCAUGGUCUGGUUGUUGUCUUUUAGACACAUACCCCAUUUCCAUUCCCAAUUUUAUUUGUAGACACAUCUGUCCUGGCUAUCCUCUUCUGUCUUUCAGUGUGAACUAGAAUGAAAGUAUUUUACUAUUGCCCUCAAAGUGGACACUCACAAUUAUAAUUCAUCAAAUUAAGAUAUGUCCAUAAAUAGUCAUAAGAGGAUCAUAAGACAUGUCCUAAGAUAUAUCUUAUGAUAAAUCUUAGGAAUGCUUCGUAAUACCGACCCCUGGACAUUAACUAUAUCGAAAAAGGACAAAACACA